rnacentral:tRNA from 1 species
UUAGAAAGAUAGGAAU